AGGAUGAACGCUGGCGGCGUGCCUAACACAUGCAAGUCGAGCGAUCUUCUUCGGAAGAGAGCGGCGGACGGGUGAGUAACGCGUGGGUAACCUGCCCUGUACACACGGAUAACAUACCGAAAGGUAUGCUAAUACGGGAUAACAUAUGAAAGUCACAUGACUUUUAUAUCAAAGCUUUUGCGGUACAGGAUGGACCCGCGUCUGAUUAGCUAGUUGGUAAGGUAACGGCUUACCAAGGCGACGAUCAGUAGCCGACCUGAGAGGGUGGUCGGCCACACUGGAACUGAGACACGGUCCAGACUCCUACGGGAGGCAGCAGUGGGGAAUAUUGCACAAUGGGCGAAAGCCUGAUGCAGCAACGCCGCGUGAGCGAUGAAGGCCUUCGGGUCGUAAAGCUCUGUCCUCAAGGAAGAUAAUGACGGUACUUGAGGAGGAAGCCCCGGCUAACUACGUGCCAGCAGCCGCGGUAAUACGUAGGGGGCUAGCGUUAUCCGGAAUUACUGGGCGUAAAGGGUGCGUAGGCGGUCUUUCAAGCCAGAAGUGAAAGGCUACGGCUCAACCGUAGUAAGCUUUUGGAACUGUAGGACUUGAGUGCAGGAGAGGAGAGUAGAAUUCCUAGUGUAGCGGUGAAAUGCGUAGAUAUUAGGAGGAAUACCAGUAGCGAAGGCGGCUCUCUGGACUGUAACUGACGCUGAGGCACGAAAGCGUGGGGAGCGAACAGGAUUAGAUACCCUGGUAGUCCACGCCGUAAACGAUGAGUACUAGGUGUCGGGGGUUACCCCCCUCGGUGCCGCAGCUAACGCAUUAAGUACUCCGCCUGGGAAGUACGCUCGCAAGAGUGAAA
rnacentral:rRNA from 1 species